GCUAGAUUGAUGGCGAGUGGCGAACGGGUGAGUAAUACAUCGGAACGUGCCCUGUAGUGGGGGAUAACUAGUCGAAAGAUUAGCUAAUACCGCAUACGACCUGAGGGUGAAAGUGGGGGACCGCAAGGCCUCAUGCUAUAGGAGCGGCCGAUGUCUGAUUAGCCAGUUGGUGAGGUAAAGGCUCACCAAGGCGACGAUCAGUAGCUGGUCUGAGAGGACGAUCAGCCACACUGGGACUGAGACACGGCCCAGACUCCUACGGGAGGCAGCAGUGGGGAAUUUUGGACAAUGGGCGAAAGCCUGAUCCAGCAAUGCCGCGUGUGUGAAGAAGGCCUUCGGGUUGUAAAGCACUUUUGUCCGGAAAGAAAUGGCUCUGGUUAAUACCUGGGGUCGAUGACGGUACCGGAAGAAUAAGGACCGGCUAACUACGUGCCAGCAGCCGCGGUAAUACGUAGGGUCCAAGCGUUAAUCGGAAUUACUGGGCGUAAAGCGUGCGCAGGCGGUUGUGCAAGACCGAUGUGAAAUCCCCGAGCUUAACUUGGGAAUUGCAUUGGUGACUGCACGGCUAGAGUGUGUCAGAGGGGGGUAGGAUUCCACGUGUAGCAGUGAAGUGCGUAGAGAUGUGGAGGAAUACCGAUGGCGAAGGCAGCCCCCUGGGAUAACACUGACGCUCAUGCACGAAAGCGUGGGGAGCAAACAGGAUUAGAUACCCUGGUAGUCCACGCCCUAAACGAUGUCAACUAGUUGUUGGGGAUUCAUUUCCUUAGUAACGUAGCUAACGCGUGAAGUUGACCGCCUGGGGAGUACGGUCGCAAGAUUAAAACUUAAAGGAAUUGACGGAAGGGCG
rnacentral:rRNA from 1 species